rnacentral:rRNA from 1 species
AGCGAACGCUGGCGGCAUGCUUAACACAUGCAAGUCGCACGAAGGUUUCGGCCUUAGUGGCGGACGGGUGAGUAACGCGUAGGUAUCUAUCCAUGGGUGGGGGAUAACACUGGGAAACUGGUGCUAAUACCGCAUGACACCUGAGGGUCAAAGGCGUAAGUCGCCUGUGGAGGAGCCUGCGUUUGAUUAGCUAGUUGGUGGGGUAAAGGCCUACCAAGGCGAUGAUCAAUAGCUGGUUUGAGAGGAUGAUCAGCCACACUGGGACUGAGA